AGUGAACGCUGGCGGUAGGCCUAACACAUGCAAGUCGAACGGCAGCACAGUAAGAGCUUGCUCUUACGGGUGGCGAGUGGCGGACGGGUGAGGAAUACAUCGGAAUCUACUUUUUCGUGGGGGAUAACGUAGGGAAACUUACGCUAAUACCGCAUACGACCUACGGGUUAAAGCAGGGGAUCUUCGGGCCUUGCGCGAUUGAAUGAGCCGAUGUCGGAUUAGCUAGUUGGCGGGGUAAAGGCCCACCAAGGCGACGAUCCGUAGCUGGUCUGAGAGGAUGAUCAGCCACACUGGAACUGAGACACGGUCCAGACUCCUACGGGAGGCAGCAGUGGGGAAUAUUGGACAAUGGGCGCAAGCCUGAUCCAGCCAUACCGCGUGGGUGAAGAAGGCCUUCGGGUUGUAAAGCCCUUUUGUUGGGAAAGAAAAGCAGCAGGUUAAUACCCCGCUGUUCUGACGGUACCCAAAGAAUAAGCACCGGCUAACUUCGUG
rnacentral:rRNA from 1 species